rnacentral:tRNA from 1 species
AAUGUCGUGCCUGAAAAAGGGCCUUUUUGAUAGAAAGAAUCAUGCAAAAUCUGCCUUCAUUA